GUGGCAGUCUAAGCUAGCCUCUGAAUGGUGUUGGAUAUAAUGGAAGACACAGAUAAAGAUUGUCCCUUGGGGGUUACAAGAGUUCUCCAAUGUCAGAGAGGAAGUGUUGGGCUUGGGACUGGGUCACCCCAGCCUCAAUAGCCAAGGGAGGAGUUGCAGAGUGCAGAGCAGGGCUUAGGACAGGGUUCAAGAAGCUGCUGCAUCCUCAGCCCAGAAAAUGACUUUGCUACUUCUGAGCUAUGAAGCCUCCCACCCUCCAGCUGCCUUAAAGAAGUGAGAGUUCUACUGGGGACCCACUGGCAGGAGCCAUAGCCUAGGCACCUGUUAUUAGAGGUGCCUACCUCAUACCCAGUGCUUGAUUCCAGGGUUACAGGUAUGAAAUUGAGGCAAGGCAAGUGGUAGGCAACCUGGACAAAGCCCUGGGAUGAGUUCUGGGGAUAGGUAGAACAGGUGUGGUGGCUCUUACUGGACACCAAUGACCUCCGAGGCCUGUCUUCUUGCUUUUGCUCCUACCUAGUGUUCUUAUAAGACUUCUAGCCCUAUGUACCUCACUGAGAGACCUAGACCCAGCACCAUCAGUGACGAAGGGAUUUGCUAGAGAGAGACGAAUGCUUUACAGAGUGGGACCUGGAUGGACCGAGCACCUGCCCACACUGAACUCUAAGCUCCUCUGAGCAUCCACCACUCUGCUGCUGUGUUCCAACAAAGAUCAGGCUGACUGAAACCCUGUGUGGAAAGGCACUUUGCAAAGCAUGCCACUGGAGCUUCCAAGGUGGCGAGCUAUGUCGGGAAGCUGUUGGACAGGAUUAUCCUCCGAGUCAAGCAGCUGCUGUCUUCUUCAUGAGGUGAAUGAGCUGGGUGGCCAGCAGGAGAGGAGUGCAAUGCCUCAGAGAAAGAAAUGCACGUGGCCUACGUGACUGUACGAGCCCUGUGUGCAUGUACCGGGUAUGUGAUGCGUCUAUCUGUGUAUACUCUAUGCAAAUGUGUGAGGUAUGUGCAUGAAGACAUGUGUGUGCAGAGGCAUGAAUACACUGUGCAUGUGUGGAUACACGUGUUGUUUGCUUAUACUCUGGUACACACAAAAACAUAUGAAUAUUUUAUGUGACAUGUGCAAGUACAUUCCUAAACACAUGUGCAUGACACAUAUGGAUGUGCAGCAUGUGUGCAUAUGUGUGGCACAUGCUUCUAUGUGCGGACAUCCAUGUGAGUGCAUGUGAUGGGUGCAGGUACAUGCAUGGCAGUAUAUGUAAUGGGUAGACGAGUGUGCACACUAGUGUGUGAUGGAUGGAUGUGUAUGCAUGCCUGUGAAUAUGAGAUGGGUAUAUUUGAGUGCAUGCCUUUGUGUGUGUGUGUGUGUGUGUGUGUGUGUGUGUGUGUGUGUGUGUGGCAAGAGGACAUCUUUGAGUGCCAUUCCUUGGGUGCCAUCCAUCUGGACAUUUAUCAAGUAUUCCAGCCUGGGUGGGCACAAGCUUCAGGCCUCCCCACACUGAGAUUACACAUGUGUCUCUACAUCUAGCUUUCUUAUGUGGGUCCAAGGGAUUGAACUCAAGUCCUCAUGCUUGCCAGGCAAAUACUUUCCUGACUGAGUCAUCCCCUAGCCCAUGGGACAACACAUUUGAGGCAACAUAUUAGGUGAUGGAAAACCAGGCCAGGCCAGCCUGUGAGGCUGAGUAUAGCAAGGGGUUAGACCCUGCUGAUCAUUCACUAUAUCCCCCAUGUUCUGAGGGUCAGUCAUUGUUCACCUCCUUUAAACCAGACGCCUGUCUUGCCCUCUGACCCCUUCUUCCAUCCGUUUCUUUUGUGUCAGUAUCUUCAGGUCUUUGCUGCUCUCCUUUGGGACAUCUGAUUCCAUAGAAAGACUGAAGCCUGGGCUCCUCUCUUCUCUUGUGGGUCCUCAAGUCCUGGCUACAGGCGCCCAAUCUAUUUUCUGGGUCCCUGAGUUCCCCCAGGAGCUCCUAGAUCAGUCAUACAGCCCUGACUUGACCUUCAUUGUAUUUUGGUAUCCCAGGGAAUCCCUCAUUGCCUUUGCGUCUUGGAGGAGCUGGCUGCUUCUGGUCAAGCAUGGACUUAGCCCUCGGUGUCCUUCAGUCCCAGUGUAGGCAGGCAACUGCCUACUAGGUAGCUAGUGACCCCUCAUAAGACUCCUGCCAGAUGGUGUCCUCCCAAAGCAGAUGGCUUGGGGUGGUACUUGGAUCUGUUUCACAGGGAGGAGUUUUGGUCAUUCAUGUUCUGUGCUCCACACUGGACUUCCUCAGGUGGACAUGGAUGGGGGUGUCCAGGCAAUGUGAGAUAGGCAUCAGGGUGGCAUUCCUGACUGGAAGGAUUGGGACGGGAGGGUCCAAACUCUCACUGAGGGCUCAGGCACCUCAGACUGUGUCCCUGUGACUCUGUAGUCAACAUAACUGUGGUCUGUCUCAGCAUGACUAGUCAGAGCUGAGCUUUCCGGGGGUGCCCUGAGAACCCAUCUUGCCCAGUCAUGGCAAGGCUGACCCUGUGGCCUCCUCAGACAGUGGAUGCUGAGACUCCGCUAACUGGAGCUUCAGGAUCGCUGUGAGGGCCUAGCAUAGGCCAGGUGGUGAGGAAACUCCACAGAGAAACCAGACCCUCAAUCCCCAUAACUUGUUUCCCUGCUAAUUUCCCCUGGAGCUCGGCGAGCUGAGCAAAGAUGUCGGUAGUUAAUUCAAUAAUUAAAAACAAACAUGGCUUUAUUUAAGAAGAUCCUGUUCUUCCUGGCUGCCAAGCUGGGAUUCAGGCUGUUGGCGGGCUGUGCCACUCGGUGCCAGCCGGGCACUUGCUUCAAGUGAAAUGUUUAUUUCAGGCAAACAGCUGCUGGGGUCCAGUCAGAGUGAGGAGGGGGUGGGGAGGCAGACAUGGGUCCUGAGCCUGGAUCAUUCUUGUUAUGUUUCUACUGGUGAGUCCUUCAGUCUGCUAGGAUCCUCAAGGGGGAUAAGGGGGGGGAGGGUCUGUGAUUCUGAUAUCAGAAGGGGACCCCUGCUACGUCAUUGAGGCUCCCACAGAUGCCCAUCUGAGCCCCAGACAUCUUCCUCAGCGCAAGGUAAAAUUCACGAGUCAUAACUCGGCACACCUGUCCUCCCUGGCCACACUCAGUGACACUGGCUAAGUAGAUUACAGGAGGUGGCAGGAGAAGUUUGGGCUGUACUCUGGCACACACAAGACAGCUCCCUGAUGGGUUCAAGUCCUCAAGGAGUGGGUAAGGUGGCACCCAAAGUCAAAUGCAUUUUCUUGUAUUAGUCCUCAAUUAUGUCAGGUCUGCUUGCACAAUUAUCAUCUGACGUCCAGAUGGGCAACCUGCCAACUGUUUAAUUAACCAUCAUGAGCGCCGUGGAGGUCAGGGCUGAGUUGCAGAGCAGGUGGUAGAGAAGGAUGGCACGUCAGUCUUGACGUCAUGGACACAGAGCCUACAAACUGCGGGAGGGUGUGAAUAAUUCACAUGUCUCCAGGGGCUGUCGAUGCCUCCUGUGGAAAGUGGAUAAGCUUCGGGAACUCAAAGGGUUCGACCCAGAGCCCCCCUUCUGCGCAGCUCCGGGUAGAAGCCACCUCCUUGGUUCUACAGUGCAGCUUUGUAGUCAGAGAGGCUAGGGGGAUAAAGAUGGGGUGGUUUUCUGAGAGUCACCUGUGCAAGCAAAAUGUCAGUCCCUGGAUUCCUGAUGGCAAAGCCAGUGGGGUGUAGCAGACAAGGCUCAGAGCAGAGCAGGGAAUCUUGGUUUUAGGUCACUCUCCACUGUGACUGGAGGGACCUUGGUUGCUGUGUCCACAAACUGGGCCCUAGGAAUCUUCUGAUGAGGUGUGGGGCUGGGGUAGGGGAGGGACAGGCAGCUGGGAAGAGAGGAGGGUGGAGGCCCUGUGAGGUUCUGUCAAAGGCCUUUCUGUCUGAGUCUACAGGAUCAUGGUGGUGGUUGUCUUCACGCCUGGAUGUGUUCCCUGCGCCACGCCUGCCCUGCAAGCUGGGACCAGUUUUUCCACUCCCUCCCACUAGCAGUGUGGACUUGUAGAGCAAGGGAGGGUGAUCAAGAGGAAGAACGUGAAGUCUGCCCAGCGUUCCCAUGCCUCUCUCCCACUGGUGAGAGUUGAUGGUGACAGCUAGAACUCCCAAGGCCCAGUGAGGGGACCAUUAGCCAAGAGUCACACUGCCCAGUGCAUUCCCAGUCUCCGACUCCUGAGUCCUUGUCUCCUGAACCACUUUUGUGGAAGCCCAAGGCCAGCCUCAUCAAGUGGCAGUUGCUCUGUAGCUUCCUGUUCCCCCAGAAGAUCCACCCCGCCACAGUGACUGCAGAAGCCCUUCAAGAAAGGAACCAGGCAAGGACUCUGAUCGCCUCCUGGUAGCUUUCUGUGCGGCAGAUAUCCCAUUGAUGCUCAAUGCAUGAUUCUGCUACCUACCCAAUGUUCUCUGAAAAAAAUAAUUUCUGUUCACCAGCUGUGAUAGUUUAGUAUUAAUUUUUUUUUUGCUUCAUUUUGUUUUGUUUUUCAAGAGAGAGUUUUCUGUGCAUUUCUGGCUGUCCUGGAAAUCAUGCUGUAGACCACACUAACCUCAAACUCAGAGAUCCACUUGCCUCCCUUCAUGAGUGCUGGGAUUAAAGGCUUGUGCCACCACUGCCUGGCCUUAAUGUUAACUUUUAACAGAACCAGAAAUUCCCUAUGUGUCAGACAUCUAGGCAUGCCUGGGGGGGGGUGUUAUCUUGAAUGCAUUAAUUGAAGUGGGAGGGCCUACUCAUUGGGGUGCUGGACUAUGUAAAUGGAGAAGUAAAGUUUAGCAGCAACAAGCAUUCAUUGCUCUCUGCUUCCUGAUUGUGGAUGUGAUGUGAGCAGCAGCCACUGUCCUGCUUACCCUGCCAUGAUGGAACUGUGAACUAGAAUGAGCCCUUUACCUGUGUGUCUGCAUUUGUCAGAAUAUUUUAAUACAGCAACAGGAAAAGAGGCCAGGACCGUCGUGGUGCUGAGUGGUGCGAGAACUGACACCUGGACGGUGCUUUGGGAAGGUGAAUGUGUCAUCCCACCUGAUGCAGCCCAUGGCUCAGGCCUGGGACAUGCCCCCAUGGUCCAAAAUGCCUGAAUAGUAACUGAAAUGCCCUCUUUGGUCUGGAGUUCUGUGCCACUUAGAGAGAAGCCAUAGGAAUUCUAGUUACUGUGGCUAUCCUCAGGAGUGUGCUCCUUCCAUCAUGGCUGGGUGGCCCCCAAAUAUGUGCUGCAGCUGUGGUCUAGGCUGCACCUCUGCCCUUUUGGUGACCACACAUAUGCACAGGCUCCUAAAUGGCCAUGGAGACACAGCUGCCCUUGAGCCUGGCCAUCCCUCGGAAUGAGGAGCCCGCAGCCAUUUGUCAGUUUCCUUUUCUGUUUGCUUCUCCACAGCUGGGUGCUUUUGUCAGAGAUUGUUAAAAACACCCACAGCACAUGCAAGGAGGAAUAGUGAGGGCAGAGAGGAGCUGCAUUAGCCUGCAAGUGUGGCUAAUGCCUGUAGUAUGUCUCAGUCUUGUUUUCUCUUCACUAAAGAGUCUUCCCUACCUGUCUCCACACAAUCGUCCCAACAAGUUGCCUAAGUUUAGGGACUCCUUUCCUGGCACAGGUGUGAGGACAUGGCUGAUCCAUGUCUUCCCUGUCUAACUGGAACCCUUGUCAACCGGAAGACGUAAGUCUUACACAAGGGUGGAUUGUCUUUGGCACCGGGGGACCUGGCACCACACAACAGUGAGACUCAGUCCUACAGUGCUGCAGUGUGGGUCUCUCAUGUCACCAAGGUUCAUGAGAUGAAGAUGUUGACACCAUCAUGAUGCUCCUAGGAUGUGGUAGACCCUUUAGGAAUGAGUGCUCAGUGGGGCGUGGGGGAAGUUAGGACAUUGGGGACUGUCCCCUUGAAUGGAUAGCAUUCCCAGAUGCCCCUAUGCCUUUCUGUUUGUUCCAUAGCUGCCAACAAAUGAGCAGCUGCCUCUGCUCUGUGCUUCCUCCCAUGAUGUGCUAUGUCAGCACUGAUUCAACUGGCCAGGGACUGAGGCCUCUGAACACAAAAACCAGAACCAACCUGCCAUCUUUUGAAGUUGAUUCUCUCGGGUAUUUUUGCCACAGUGGUGGGGAGCUGGUGGACACAUAGAAAGCAGCUAAUGAGUCUGUGCCUCUGUAUUUGGGGCUAUUUCCAUCUGGAAAGUCACAGGCCGUAGAACCGAGGAGAGGAACAGGGUGGCUCUGUUAUUACUGCCUUGUGGUUUACUCUGACGAUGAACCCGAAGAGGUAAGUGUACUAACAGUAUAUAUAGGACUUAGCCAAAGGGUUUUAGGAGCUCCUGGGUAAGAGAUAGACCAGGUAGAUAAGGAUGAAAAGACAAGAACUCUAAAUAAGGCAUGGGCAAUAGGAGUCUAAAGAAAGAAGACACUUUAUGGACAUAAUACAAUGUACUUUAAAGAAAAAGAGAAUCAAAGUUAGCACAUCUCAAUCAGUUGCUUUCUUAUAGCAACGUAGUCCUUAAUACCUAGACCAGGGACAUUGGAUUUAGAAACCUGGGGCAGGCUAGGGAAGGUUCAUUAAGAGAAUGAACCUGAAAAUAUACAUGUUGAGACUUUUUUAAAAAAAUUAAAAUGUGCUUAGACAGGCUGCUAAUGUGGCCAAGAGUGCCCAGAUCCUAAUAUGGGCAGAUGAGGGACCCUUAUGGGAGCCCCUCGAGUAUAAACUCCUCCAAGAGCUUCAACAGGCCAGUACAGAUUGUGGCCCCACCCCUCCACAUACUCUUACUUUAGUAGAAAGAAUUCUAUGAUACAGACAGAGGUUAGGAUUUGAUGGAUGUUUUUCUUAGGGGCAACUGACUAAAAGUGGCUGCUUAAACUGAUUAAAAUGGCUGCUGACUCCUGUAUGGGUGGAUCAAUGGCCCCUGUCUAUAGAAAAGAUACAAGCAGCCACAGAUUUGGCUAAUGAACAGUUGCAACUAGAACAUAUAGACUCCUUCAAUAGUCCCUGGAAUACUUCUAUAUUUGUUGUUUUAAAAAAAUCAGGAACAUGGAGGAUCCUACAAGACUUGAUUUCUUGAGAAAAAUCAAGACUAUGGAAGCUGUGGGAGCUCUUCAACCUGAGCAGUCCUCCCCUCUUCAACCUGAGCAGUCCUCCCCUCUGCUGUUCCUCAGGGAUGACAGUAUCAUAGUCAUGGAUUUAUAGGAUGAUUGUUAUCAUGAUCAUAGGUUAUAGGAUUACUUCUUUACUAUUCCUUUGAGUUCUCAGUGAUGUAAAAGAUUUGCCUUUAGCCUUCCCUCUACAACCUUAAGACAGCCAUAUUGUAGCUACUAAUGGAAAGUCUUCCCACAAGGUAUGAUAAAUAGUCCUACCCUUUGUCAAAACUUUGUAGAUCAGGCUCUACAAAAACAUAAGAGAUGAGUACUCACAGGCUUAUUUAGUUCAUUAUAUGGAUGGUAUCCUCAUUUUCACAAGGCCAGAGCUUACCUACAAGAAGUGUUACAACAUCUGCUUUCUCAGUUGUCUCCCUCUGGGCUUAAGAUGGUCCCAGAAAAAAAAAAUUCAAGCUGCAACCUCCAUUUAAUUAUUUGGGUCAUGUUUUAAGUCAGGGCCCUAUCAGUCUUUAGAAUCAAGGCUAGAUAAGCUCACAAUAUUAAAUGACCUAUAUCUUAGGACCUAUAAAUUGGAUUCACCCAUUUUUAAAAACUACUACUGUUCAACUUAAAGUCCUUUUUGACAUGUUAAGAGGAUAUUAUGAUAGUUGCUUGAUUAUUGUUCUGUCUCAUAUUCAGAGGAAUAGGCCAACUGGCAUCUGCCAGCCGUUAACCCCUUGACUUAGUUUUAACUCACUUCAAGGAUUUCCAGAAAAAAGCAGCUGAAUUGGGACAACAAAACCUGGUAAACUGGCCCUGUGCUUCGAGCUCUGUACCCUUGGUGAGGAGCCCAGCACCACCAUUACAUGGUUGUUGUUUCUGACUGGUCUUAAAUGGAUGGCUUUACUAUGUUCUGUAUGUCUUGGUUAUAGAUUACUGACUUAGAAGUUAUUGGGUAUGGUUACAAAUUGGUAACAACUGUUAAAUAAAAUGUUAUCUUACAACUCAUGACUUAGGGGUGGAGCUGCUCUGGACAACAUGUGGCAUACACUUAUCAAGAAAACAGGUCUCUGGUCUGGAGAGUUGGCUCAGUGGUUAAGAGCACUGACUGCUCUUCCACAGGUCCUGAGUUCAAUUCCCAGCAACCACAUGGUGGCUCACAACCACCAUGGGAUCUGAUGUCCUCUUCUGGUAUGUCUGAGGACAGCUACAGUGUACUCAUACACAAAAUAAAAUCUUAAAAAGAAGAAAGAAAACAGGUCUCCAAAAAUAUGUUUAAAUUGUGUUAAGACAUAUAAUUCAUGCCCUAUCUUAAACAUCAGAUUUAUAAAAGAUAUAAUUUAAAACAAUGCUUGUUUAAUAAGCCAUUAAAGCUGCACUAUUGGUGUAUAAGAACAUACUUGCUGGCAGCCAGACUUUACAACAUCAAAGUAAUCUACUUGGUACUGAUUUUAGAGACACUAAAUUGUUUACAGUGUUAAAACUUGGUUUUGUCUUCUAAAAACUUAUGGUUAUUCUCUAUGUCUUUAUUUUUAAAAAGGUACUCUGUUUUGCUCUUGCAAAAACACAGAAUUGAGAGAUUUUAAACUUCUUUAAAGGAAGUUUUGGAGUUUUACAAAAAUUAAAACCUGAAUAUUUUAAAAUCAGCUUUUAAAAAUAUUUAAAUUGAUAAGGCUAUGGCACAUUUUAAAGUUUAUCAGGUAUUUUAUUAUAAUGUGUUUAUUAAUAUAUAAUCUCAAUAAGUAGCCAAAUAAAAGACUAAAUAUUAGGGACACAGCUAAAUAGCAGAGACUUAAGAAUUCCUAUCUUAUAAUGCAAUAGGACAAUGACCUGAGCAGUCUGACAGGUAGCUUGGAGCAGUUUCUCAAUUUAUGUAUGAGUCACAACCCUUGGGGGGUCAAAAGGCCUGUUAACAGAGCAGUGGAAAGGUUUCCAUGUUCUUUGAACUGUGGAUAGGGGGUGUUUGUGACUUUUCACAGGAUGCUAACUCCCCCAUUUGGGUGCUUAACCACCUGAUUUGCUCUUAUGGAAGUUCUCCUAUGGCCAUCUCAACAGCUGGGCCAACGAUGGAGCUCAUCUCCACCCUCAUGAUAUGAAGAAGUGAUGGCUGUCUACAAUGAGCCAUCAGGGGAUAUUAACCCUCCUCGUCACAGCCCAGAAGCCACAGCCACGGAGUUGAUGCUGCCACUUCAAGGUCUCCAACUAAGAGGGAGAGUCCCAGGAAACUGCUGGUUUUGACUACUUCAGAUUUUAUAGAGUUAAGAAGCCCUAACACCCAGCAUCCUGAAACAUUAGGAAUACAGACUUGUGUUUCAGCUUCCUGUGUUAUACUGAUGGAAACAAACAAACAAAUGCCUUAACAAUCUCUAAGUGUAGUUCCUUUUAUUACUGUAAAUUUUCCUCUUGAAUUGUAAUUAAUAACUUUUGUUUUGCUAAAUCAAUCUUCUUAUGUUUUAUUACCUAUAAAUCUAAGCCAGCCUUGGUUUGAUGACCCAGA